CAUUCAAACCUUCCGCUCUCACAAUAACCUAUCAUCGCCCUCCUGUUAGCAGCGUCAGCCAAUCAUCGCAUCAGAAGCAGACCCCUCCCCCUGACCAAUCGCUAGGCUUGUACCUAGUUGGCUCCGCCACGGAGAGAGCCUGCGGUGCACAUUGGCUCUCCCUCUGGCCAAUCACUACAUUUUUCCUGCACUCAAUUGUCUCCGCCCCAGCAACCCCGGGAGAUUUAAAUUGAGUCCCCUUAAUAUUGCCAAUCUUGAGGAACUGUUUUGGAGUCAAGUGUUCGCUUCUCCUUGCUUCUUUCUCUUGGGUUUUGUUACCUUUCGGCUGGAAAUGGAGCUCCUGCCACCGGUGUGACAGUGGUUGGGGCAUGACAGGAGGGUUUCAUGCCUAUAAUCCCAGCACUUAGAAGACUGUAAUCGAAGAGUCGCCGUGAGUUUGAGGACAUCCCGCAGUGAGUCCAGAUCGCCGUGGGCUAGACUGCAGAAGCUGCUUCCCCAGAAAGAAGGUGUGUGAAAUGUCUUUGUCCUCUAGGAUGGAGAUGGUAAGUGUGGGAGUCACCACAGAGCCUUGUCAUGCCAGGUGGGAAGUUGAGACAGAUGAAGUGGUCCUGAGGCGGCGGCAGAAGCAGAUAGACUAUGGCAAGUGCACACCUGGGUACCAGAGCUUUCUGCAGCAGGUCCCCAGGGCACAGCGACAGCCGGGUUUUCACCCUCAAACACCAAACAAAAACAGGAGGUACAGCCGCAGAUCCUGGGAUGCCCAGAUCAGGCAGUGGAGAAGAGCCCUGCAUACCUGGGACCCCCCAAGCCAGCCUCUCCAUGACAGACAGGCUGAAGGGAAGGCAGCAGGGAACUUCCUAAGGCCAGUGGAUACUGCUCCUUUAGAUGAUCUCCUGGAUAACUGGCCCCAGGACCCAGAAUCCUCAGAGAAUUGGGACAGAGGCGAGAAAGAGGCCCAGAUGAAGGAACUGGGCGUGGUGGUACACUCCUGUAAGUUCCAUACUGGGACGGACGGUGAAAGCAAGAGGAGCAGGAGUUUAAUUUAUGUCAUUUAAAGCUGAUUUUUAAUAAACCAUUAAAACCAGAGUUCAUUACAGAAGUUAACAGGAUCAGGAGUUUAAAGCCAACAACCUCAGCUACAUGAGAACUGUUUGCCAAACAAACACAAGACCAGCAAACAAACAACAAAAAAAGCAAAGCAAUCCAAAACGUCCUUGAAAAUAAAGAGAGGCAUAACUAUGGGCAGGCAGCGUUGUACUGUACAGUUGGCCGUCUGAGAUCGUACACACAGGAAACAGUUGGGGCCUUUCAAUUUGCAUACUUGAAGGUUCCUGCUUCCUGCCCUCCCCAGCUCAAAGAUGAACUUCUCCAUCACUAAGUCUGCUGCUGUUUACCUAUCCCAGACAAGGGGGGAUUCAAAGCAUUCACAGCGAACACUUUAUUUUUAGGGAUUUGCUGCUACAACUGUAUAAUAAUGAAAUGACUGGAAUUACUUUUUUUUUAAUUACCACUUUAACCGAUUAAAAAAGAAAUCUAAAACUC